rnacentral:rRNA from 1 species
GAUGAACGCUGGCGGCGUGCUUAACACAUGCAAGUCGAACGGAAAGGCUCCUGCUUGCAGGGGUACUCGAGUGGAGAACGGGUGAGUAACACGUGGGUGAUCUGCCCUGCACUUCGGGAUAAGCCUGGGAAACUGGGUCUAAUACCGGAUAGGACCACAUUUUGGAUGGUGUGGUGGAAAGUUUUUCGGUGUGGGAUGAGCUCGCGGCCUAUCAGCUUGUUGGUGGGGUAAUGGCCUACCAAGGCGUCGACGGGUAGCCGGCCUGAGAGGGUGUACGGCCACAUUGGAACUGAGAUACGGCCCAGACUCCUACGGGAGGCAGCAGUGGGGAAUAUUGCACAAUGGGCGCAAGCCUGAUGCAGCGACGCCGCGUGGGGGAUGACGGCCUUCGGGUUGUAAACUCCUUUCGCUAGGGACGAAGCGUUUUUGUGACGGUACCUGGAGAAGAAGCACCGGCUAACUACGUG